rnacentral:misc_RNA from 1 species
GAGGAGAAGGCUGCAGAAGAAAUGAUCGCCACGAUGAACGAGGGCGUAGUCGACAUGCUGGAAUACAAGGAUGACGGCUACAUAGAGCUCAUCUUCAAACUGCUGGCCAGGAUCUGUGACGGUCAACAUUUUGGACUUCAGAAUUACCUCCGAGAACAACCAGACAACGUCAAAUCGUUUAACAUUGUCGGAGAGACGGCACAAUUCCUGAAUGUUGUUUACACUACAAUCAACAAAAAGACCAUUAAUCUUAUCAUCCAACUCUUCAAUACCCUGAACGAAUUCUGCUCGGGAAAUCAAGAGAAUAGAGUAGUUGUUUAUGACCGGAAGCUUGUGGACUACAUUAAUUUCAUUUUGAGGGCUGGAGACAUAGCUGAUUGUGCACCAGAGAAGAUCCUUGAGUUACGGCAAGCGAUCGCCUCAGUGAUCAUCUCCUUAAUUGAAGAAAAUGGACCAGGAAAGUCGCAAGUUGCUAAGGAGGUGAAAGAUACAUUAGACAAGGGGGCUAUAUAUCGUUGUAUGACGUUGUGCUAUGAAGCGCACCAAUCAGAAAAGCCUUCUCUUGAGGAGUUAUCCCCAACCGAAGAAGGAAGCGUCCUAAAAUCUGCACGUUCAUUGGCUGUUGUCGGAGGCAGUAUUUUACAAGGGUUUGUGGGUACUCAGAAGAAUCAGCUGCGGGAGACAUUGAUGGAGGUUGGCUUUACUUUCUUCCUUAUUCUUGCAAGAAUGCAAGACAUUGAUCCACUGAUGAGCACAACCCUUCAAAUAACGCCAGACCAAGCAAAAGCAUACGAGUUCUACAAAAAGAAUUCGUUGUCAAUUGAAUUAAUCAAAGACGACGUUUUGCAGAAAGUCAACUUCCGAGUAAAAAAUAAGAAUUUCUUAAGAGAAGAGGUCAAGGAAAACCUUAAAUGGAAUGUUGAUCGAUCGUCGCCUAGCAACAAAAUCCGGGACCUGAUGGGAUGGACCCGUGACAUCAUGCAGGACAUUUCCUACCAAAGGAAAAUUCUCUGUAACCCAAUAGCCAUGAUGUUUACAAAAGGAUGGCUGUUGUGGAACCAUGGAGCAACUAUUUUGAGUCUCGCUAUCAACCUUUUCAUGCUGGUGACGUGGAACGCGAAAGCUUCUCGUGAAGACUUUGACAAACACAACCAAUCAAUAACGAACCAGACACUGGAUAGAGCAUUACUUCAAGAUCCUAUCCCACGCAUUGGUUACGUGCCACAUGACCAUUACACGCUGGCUAUGUAUGCGCUGGGAGGUACACACAAUCUCCUAUCCUUGUUUGUGCUGAUCAGUUACUUCCUGUCCAAUCAUCCGAGGUUUCCAACUAAAGAGGAAGUAAAAGCACCUUUCAGAGCUCUCUGUGGCGGUGGAAAUAAUGGUAGCGGUAAGAAGAAAAGCGACGAUCUCACAGAGAAAAAACCUGAUGAAAUAUCAAAGCUAGAUGUCAAAUUCUUUAGCUUCACAACGUUUUAUUAUAUGAUGUUCCUAGCCAUGUCCGCCGCUGGUACGAAAUUUCAUGGAUAUUUUUUCGCAUUCCAUCUCUUAAACAUUGUCAACAACAACCAACUACUCAGUGGAGUCAUCAAAGCCGUCACACUGAAUGGUGUGUCAUUGCUGUGGGUGGCUAUCCUGGGACUCAUUGUGAUAUACAUUUAUGCACUGGUUGGUUUUUCGUUACUCCGUGCUUACUUCUCCCCUGGCGAGUACCUGUAUUGUUCCACGUUAUGGCAAUGCACGGUCACCGUCAUCAGAUAUGGUCUCAUUGGGGACAUGUUCGAUAAUAUCAAACAUAAUGGCGUGAACGAUUCAUUUGAAACGUUUUGGCCGCUAGUUUUGUACCACGUGUCUUUCUUCAUAUUUAUCACCACCAUUGGUUUGAACAUUAUUUUUGGUAUCAUCGUUGACACAUUCUCGGAGCUUCGUGACCUCAAGUGGCGAGCUGAAUCUGACAUGAAAGACACGUGCUUCAUUUGCAGCAGAAAUAGCUACGAUUUUGAGCACAAUGGGAAGGGCUUUGACCACCACGUUCGAAAUGAACACAACAUGUGGGCCUAUGUAUUUUUCUUGAUUCAUCUCGAAGAUGUCAAGACGAGCGACUUCACAGCGUUGGAACUUUACGUCCACAAACUUGUAGCGUUAGAGAACUACGAUUUCUUCCCCAUGAACCGAGCCCUUUGCCUUACUUCUGUAGACACAGACUCGACCGAGUCUAAAAUAGACGAACUCUUAAACAGAGUUACUUCCAUUGCAUUAAAACAGAAAGAAGAGGAAACUGAGAAGAAACGCAAAGCGGAGAAAAUGAAACAGAAGAGAUGGCAGGAAAAACACCGUCAGUUCAUGUUCGGAAUUCAGGACGACGACGGUAACGGGAAUGAUAACACCAAAUCACAGUCCAGCGACAAAAUAGUGGUCAAGUCCAAGUCGGACCGGUCUCUGUCAAGACCCCCGAGCAUCGUCAGUCUACAGAAAACCCCCACCACGCCCGACGGGACCCUCGACCGAAGAGACACCAAGAAGGACGCAAUAGAACAGAAAGCCAAACUCGUGCUGAGAGAGUCGGACGAGUCUGAAGUGGCGGCGACUGAGGAUUCGGACUCCGUGGGAAGUAUCAACGAGGAGUACGACUUGUUGAAGGAGGAUUUCUCCACCGCGGGGAUGCUGGACCCCAUGCCGCCGGCGUUCAGGGAGCGUGCCUUGUCCAUUCCCGGAAUUUCUUCGCUGGUUCAGCAGACUGGUGAGGAAGAACGGAAGUCCGGGGAUGAGCUCCGUGUUCUCGUGGAAGACGAGACUGAUGACGAGAGUGGACGAGAAUCGACCAGAUUAUAGACGUGAAGAAAAUGUCUGUAGGAGUAUUAUAAACGUUGAUUAUGCCUUUUUGUAAUUGUAUUGAAAUUUUAAUGGAUUGUAUGUAAAAUCCUGAACAGACAGCAUUCUUGUUAAAUAAAUACGGGAUAUUUCUAUUUUCUUGUUUUGCUGUAUAUUUUAUACAUUUGUAUAUGUCACGCCAUUUCUCAUUGUUCUUGGUUUGUAUUUAUUCAUUGACAUCAUACUUGUUGUGCAAUAUAGAAUCACGGUUUUACUGUGUUUUAUGGAUUAUGUGCUUUACAUACACUCAUGCUGAUUAAAAUAACAAUGACCCGGUUUCGAGCUUAACUGAAAAUUAUUGUAGUGGUUCUCUUAUACAUGUUUGUAUUUUAACAUCCUAAAUUUCAAAUAAAUGCUUUAAUUUUG